CUGCGGUUAGGCUGUCACUUACCAGAUUUCAUGGAUUAGAGACCUGAGGCUAAAGAGGUCAAGUUGCCUGACUCCCAAGCCAUUCUCUUUCUACUAGAUGAUUCCACUCUGCUUCUCUUAAUAGACAGGGAGAAGCAGACAUAAGAGGGAAAGAGAAAAGCAGCAGGGGAGGACAUGGCAGAGAUGGACAAAGGAAGAGGUGAGGAGAGACUCAUUUGAAGUAGAAAGAGAAAGAGGAGAGAGAAACCCCAAAGGUUCUGGAAAGUUGGAGGAACUUCUCAUAACCUCUACUCAGAUGGUGCUUUACAAGGCUACGCUUGCUCUUGGGCAAUAGCAAUUAGCCAGGUAACCACUGUUCACAGCCCUACACCUGCUCUUUAUUCUCAGGCUUUCGAGACUCUAGUGUGAGCAGAAGACUCAACAACCCACGGAGAGAAGAAUUCUUUGGCUGCCCCAGCAAUGCAGGCAGUGUUCCCCUGGAGAGUGGAUGAACUCAAGCAGAGGCCAGCCCUGGGCUCAUGGGAAUGGGAAUUAGGUUUGCCUUUGCACCCCAGGGUAGGUGGUGAAUGCUGUCUUAGAUAAUCUUUGGCCUCUCCCUUCCAGACUCUUCACAAAGCAUCCCCAUCCCAUCUUGGUAUCCUAUUCGUUCAGCUACUCUCGCGCUUGCCUUCCUGGGACAGUGACAGUUGCAGUUCCUGCUGGCUUGGAGUGCCCCUCCUUGCUCUGUGUCCUGUGAGAAAGCAGAUGAUUCUGGUGUACAGCCAAUGAUGAACAGCUGCUGGGCUGGAGGGGCCGGGGCCAUUUGAUACCAGUUGUAGGAUGUUACACAGAAACCCCUGAAAAGCAAGUAGCAGCUGUCAGAAGGUUUGGUGACAAAGCUCCUGUUGUAGUGCCUUCAGCAUGGACUCCACAUUCAGCAGGCCCAGGAGCUGCUCCCUUUUGGAUGAGCUCCAAGGCCUUAAGAGAGCUUCUCUGGUCUCCGUGAAUCCCUCUGAAUGAUGGUCCUGAGCAAACUUAUGACCAUCUGCUCAAAAUAACUCGGGAAGUCAAAGCUUUCUAUGUGGAAGGUGACUGAAAUCACGUACACAGACUACUGCCACAUUCCUGACCUUAAGGAGCUUGGAAAUGAGUCCAAACACGAACAUAAGCCUUGCUACAUGAGUGACAUGUUGGGCCAUGACAGGAACUUGGAGCGCAACCCUGCACCCCUCGAGAAUGUGGCAUCACACCUCACCAAAUCCUCUGUGUGAGCUACUGACCUCAACCACGGAACUUCAAACUACGUCAAAACCUAAGGGUUUGACAGACACUUUGAGAGCUGGGGCUGUGGCAGUCAGCCCCUCUUCGACAGGGCCAUACCCUGCUAGCCUUUGAACUUGGACGCCUCGCCCGCCAACACUGUGCCGCCCUCUCGCAUAUGAGGGACCCUAUGUGCCUUUGUGAAGCUCCGUUGUGUUGGACGUCUCUCCCAAGAGCUGUUCUUAUAACAGAGACACACCACACUUUAAUGGGCCUUCGCUUUCCAGGGAGGUCUGCUGCCAUCCUAACGGAGCAAGUAGACUUAGCCACUUUGGAACUCACUCACUCUGUGACUCAUACACCCUGUCUACCCAGCGCAUUCCCCAGGAGAUCUGUUCACCUUCUCCCCUCCUUAAGCAUUGUGAACCUAAGAAAAAUGUCAUCCUCGUAGGGGAAUAAACUGUGUGAUGGGUGAAAUC